rnacentral:rRNA from 1 species
AUAAAAAGUAAUUUUUAAAACUAAAUUAUUAAUAGUUAUGUUCUUUAAAAUUAAAAAAUUUGGCGGUAUUUUAGUCUUUUCAGAGGAAUCUGUCCUAUAAUUGAUAACCCACGAUUAAUUCAACUUAAAUUAGAAAUUUAUAUAUCGUUGUAAUAGAAUAUUUUAAUAGAAUUUUUAAUAUUCAAAAUUUAUGAUAUUAAAGAAAAUCAGAUCAAGAUGUAGUUUAUAUUUAAGUAGAGAUGGAUUACAAUAGUAAAAAUUUUUGGAUUCAUAUUUUAAAAUUAUGAUGAAAUAGGAUUUGAAAGUAAUUAGAUUUAUUUAUUUUUAAUGAUUAAGCUCUAAAAUAUGC